UGGAGCGUGUGGUUUAAUUCGAUGCUACACGAAGAACCUUACCCAGGCUUGACAUAGCAGUGAACGAUCGCGAAAGCGUGGGGCUCCUUCGGGACACUGUUACAGGUGCUGCAUGGCUGUCGUCAGCUCGUGUCGUGAGAUGUCCGGUUAAGUCCGGUAACGAGCGCAGCCCUCACUGUGUGUUAUAUGUGUCACACGGGACUGCCGGUAUCAAGCCGGAGGAAGGUGGGGAUGACGUCAAGUCAGCAUGGCCUUUAUAUCUUGGGCA
rnacentral:rRNA from 1 species